UCUGAAUUUGCUCAGGAUGGCAGGAUGAGAGAGCACUGAAAAGUAAGUGAUAUGUAAACAGUAGGUCAUUUGCACCUCUGGUGUAUUUGAAGAUGCUUGUACGUUCUAUUUCCUCACAUUUGUGUCAGAGUGCUGCCUGCCUUAGUGUGUGUCAUCCAUCCCCACGGAGGGCCUGCUGGAGGUUGAAGUUACAGUUACUACUUGGAGGAAGAGAAAAUAAUAUACUUAAGACUGGAAGUACUUAUCUGGAAUUUAUUGUAUUAUAUUACUUAUUGUAUAUUUUAAGGGCUCGAGAAGCUUGGAUCAAGUAACAUUCUUACAAGAUGUUUGUAAAUACUUUGGUGUCUUUGAAACUCAGAUGGGCUUAGUAAGGAACUAUUUGUAUUUGAAAUCUACAGUACAGAAAGUCUGUUUGUCACAUGUUAGCCAAAGCAAUGAACUGUAAAGCAACUUCAUGUAAUGUCAAAUAGUCUACCUUAGCAACUGUUCUCUUAUUUUUUAAUUUUUUUUCACUGACAGAGAGAAUAAACGUUCUCCAUAGAAGCAAGAAUAUUGACGGGCUGAAAACUUGUUCCUCGGCCAUCCAAAACUGGAAGUCUUUUGUGAGCCCUUUGGCAGGUGAACAAAAAAGGAUGUUGCAUGCCUCAUGAGCAGCUAUUAGUUGUAGGUUGGAGUACUUGGUUCUUCUUUAGUUCAAAUCUCAAAGAAAGACAACUCUAGAAAAUUUAAAGUCUACAGGAAGAGAUCAACUACUCAGUAAAUGACAUGGAGAGUACACUGAAUACUGAUGUUUCUGUACUGCAACCACUGCACUUAAAAAACUCCUGUUGAAGUGAAAAGAAUUUUGAAUUCAAGUUUUUGUUCUGAGGUCUGCUAUUUAGUUGUUCUUUGACUUGUUUGAAGUCAAGAAUUUUAAAUAUUGUCUUGGUUUUGAGAUUUAUAUUCUGUUGCAGAUAAACUGAUGCUGGACAAUGUAGCUGGUUUUGAACAGCCCGACAUUUAAAGAUAUUGCACUUUAGUUCAUAACUUAAUUUGUAAUUAAAACAGGCUUGUUUGUGAAGCCAAUUCAAAUUAUAAUUCUGGCUCAGAAAUUUUAAGGGUGUUUUGGUGGGACACUGUGACUCAGGUGUAUAGUUAUAAAAAAGAAAAACAGAAACAUAAUGAAAAAUUUUAGACAAGGUACUGAGUAAAGGAUUUUAUUUUUGUGUACUGAACAAGAUAUAACAAAAUGUGAAAGCUAGUACUAAAAGCUGUAACAUGGAAGUAUUAAAUAAAGAAUGAGUGUUAAAUUAUA